rnacentral:lncRNA from 1 species
CGGAGAGAAAGCAUAAUAAUGUACAAAUACCGCACAGCUCACUAUUAAUCAGAUCUACACUUUUCAACAUUAAUGCCCUAUGUACAAAUACCGCAGAAUAAGACUCUGUUCGAAAUUACUAAAAAAGUGCCCUACAUACAGAGAAAAAGCAUAAUGCCCUAUGUACAAAUACCGCAGAAUAAGACUCUGUUCGAGAUUACUAAAAAAGUGCCCUACAUACGGAGAGAAAGCAUAAUAAAAAAAUAUUUUACUUUUUAGAUCACAAUGAUUCGACUAUAAUAUAA